AUUGAACGCUGGCGGAAUGCUUUACACAUGCAAGUCGAGCGGCAGCGCGGGGGCAACCCUGGCGGCGAGCGGCGAACGGGUGAGUAACAUAUCGGAACGUACCCCGUCGUGGGGGAUAACACAGCGAAAGCUGUGCUAAUACCGCAUACGACCUGAGGGUGAAAGCGGGGGAUCGCAAGACCUCGCGCGAUGGGAGCGGCCGAUAUCGGAUUAGCUUGUUGGUGAGGUAAAGGCUCACCAAGGCGACGAUCCGUAGCUGGUCUGAGAGGACGACCAGCCACACUGGAACUGAGACACGGUCCAGACUCCUACGGGAGGCAGCAGUGGGGAAUCUUGCGCAAUGGACGAAAGUCUGACGCAGCAACGCCGCGUGGGUGAUGAAGGUCUUCGGAUCGUAAAGCCCUGUCGGCAGGGAAAAUGCUUACGCCGUCUAACAGAUGGCGUGGGUGAUUGUACCUGCAAAGGAAGCACCGGCUAACUCUGUGCCAGCAGCCG
rnacentral:rRNA from 1 species